rnacentral:rRNA from 1 species
GUGGGGAAUAUUGCACAAUGGGGGAAACCCUGAUGCAGCGACGCCGCGUGAAGGAAGAAGUAUCUCGGUAUGUAAACUUCUAUCAGCAGGGAAGAUAGUGACGGUACCUGACUAAGAAGCCCCGGCUAACUACGUGCCAGCAGCCGCGGUAAUACGUAGGGGGCAAGCGUUAUCCGGAUUUACUGGGUGUAAAGGGAGCGUAGACGGUGUGGCAAGUCUGAUGUGAAAGGCAUGGGCUCAACCUGUGGACUGCAUUGGAAACUGUCAUACUUGAGUGCCGGAGGGGUAAGCGGAAUUCCUAGUGUAGCGGUGAAAUGCGUAGAUAUUAGGAGGAACACCAGUGGCGAAGGCGGCUUACUGGACGGUAACUGACGUUGAGGCUCGAAAGCGUGGGGAGCAAACAGGAUUAGAAACCCCAGUAGUCCC